UACGUAGGGUGCAAGCGUUAAUCGGAAUUACUGGGCGUAAAGCGUGCGCAGGCGGUUUUGUAAGUCUGUCGUGAAAUCCCCGGGCUCAACCUGGGAAUUGCGAUGGAGACUGCAAGGCUAGAAUCUGGCAGAGGGGGGUGAGAAUUCCACGUGUGAGCAGUGAAAUGCGUAGAGAUGUGGAGGAACACCGAUGGCGAAGGCAGCC
rnacentral:rRNA from 1 species